rnacentral:lncRNA from 10 species
GGAGCGCCUCUGACUGACUUCCCCCAUGUGUCCGUGUGGCCACACCGUGCUACUUUCAGAGGCAGUGGGCUUUUCGCUAAGGGAUAAAAAGAAGUAAAACCUUGCCUUUAGCGCAGCUCUCCUUCACUGGGCAGAUUGCUCUCCCUCCCCACUCUCCCAGGCCCAAAUUGGAUCUCAGCGCCUGGGAGCUCCAACUUUAGCAAGUGCGAAAUCCUGUCUUCGGUUUUGGAAUUUUCAUCCGCACAGACUAUAUCAGCCACGGAUAGGAUAUGUGAGAAUACCAGCAUGUCAAGGCUGGGAAUCAUCCUUAGGCAUCACCUAGCCAGUCCUGCCUCUCAUUUUAAGGUGAUCACAGGAUCUGGUUUGCCACUGAAAGGAAUCUUGAUGCUGACCACUUCACCUCGGAGAGCAUGAACUGCUCCCAUGCCUUCAAGAGUUUUAGUGGGUAACCAGGAUGGAACUGCGGUGUUGCUUGCAGGAGAAGCUUACUACUGGUUUCUACUUCUCCAACCUCAUUGGUGGCUAUGCAGGUAUAAACACCUUCAUCUUCC